rnacentral:rRNA from 1 species
UACGUAGGGUGCAAGCGUUAAUCGGAAUUACUGGGCGUAAAGCGUGCGCAGGCGGUUUUGUAAGUUUGUCGUGAAAUCCCCGGGCUCAACCUGGGAAUGGCGAUGAAGACUGCAAGGCUAGAAUCUGGCAGAGGGGGGUAGAAUUCCACGUGUAGCAGUGAAAUGCGUAGAGAUGUGGAGGAACACUGAUGGCGAAGGCAGCCCCCUGGGUCAAGAUUGACG